rnacentral:rRNA from 1 species
CCUACGGGUGGCAGCAGUGGGGAAUAUUGCACAAUGGGGGAAACCCUGAUGCAGCGACGCCGCGUGAGUGAAGAAGUAUUUCGGUACGUAAAGCUCUAUCAGCAGGGAAGAAAAUGACGGUACCUGACUAAGAAGCCCCGGCUAACUACGUGCCAGCAGCCGCGGUAAUACGUAGGGGGCAAGCGUUAUCCGGAUUUACUGGGGGUAAAGGGAGAGGAGACGGCAGCGCAAGUCUGGAGUGAAAUCCCAUGGCUUAACCAUGGAACUGCUUUGGAAACUGUGCAGCUAGAGUGCAGGAGAGGUAAGCGGAAUUCCUAGUGUAGCGGUGAAAUGCGUAGAUAUUAGGAGGAACACCAGUGGCGAAGGCGGCUUACUGGACUGUAACUGACGUUGAGGCUCGAAAGCGUGGGGAGCAAACAGGAUUAGAUACCCUUGUAGUC